AACAGAGCUCCCACUCUGGAAGAUUCGGCCCUGAGCAAAAGGCACUUGGAAUCUACAUGAGGGGCUCAGAUAUCCAUGUGAAACCUGGAAGAAAAACCCGGAGUCAGGCGACGUGAGAUGCAGCCAGUUCUGACACCGAAAAGCCACAGGACCUAAUGAAUACCUUUCUUUGGCCAGAGAUGCCAUGAUGUCCCCCAUCAUUGGUUUAAAAACGUAAUAGGAUCUCAUAAACAGAUCCUAUUUGCUGUCCUUUGAUAUAAGGAUCGAGGAAGAAAGGGCCCAGGACUAACCUUUUGCCAACAUGGCGGUGAGUGUAUCUCUGUUAUUUUCAAAUUUGCUGUCAAAAUGCUAUACUAAAACUUUCGAAAGAGACAAACAGAUGUCCUACAGUGUAGGGUGUUGUGUGUUGUGGCUUCAGUUGGAGAAAUCAUAUGACUCACUUAUAUAAACUCAUUAAAAUAUUUUCUUUCUUUCA